GACGAACGCUGGCGGCGUGCUUAACACAUGCAAGUCGAACGGAAAGGCUCCAGCUUGCUGGAGUACUCGAGUGGCGAACGGGUGAGUAACACGUGGGUAAUCUGCCCUGCACUCUGGGAUAAGCCUGGGAAACUGGGUCUAAUACUGGAUAUGACCUUUCUCCUUAUGGGGUUUGGUGGAAAGUUUUUCGGUGUAGGAUGAGCCCGCGGCCUAUCAGCUUGUUGGUGGGGUGAUGGCUUACCAAGGCGACGACGGGUAGCCGGCCUGAGAGGGUGAUCGGCCAAGUUGGGAAGGGGAAAGGGCCCAGACCCCUAGGGGGGGCAGGAGUGGGGAAAAUUGCAAAAUGGGGGGAAGCCUGAUGCAGGGAAGCCGGGGGGGGGAUGACGGCUUUGGGGUUGUAAACCUUUUUCAGAGGGAAAGAAGCGAAAGUGAGGGUACCGGCAAAAGAAGCACCGGCAAACUAGGG
rnacentral:rRNA from 1 species